ACAUGCAAGUCGUGCGAGAAAGUAUCUUCGGAUAUGAGUAGAGCGGCGGACGGGUGAGUAACGCGUAGGAAUCUACCUAGUAGAAGGGGAUAGCCCGGGGAAACUCGGAUUAAUACCGUAUACCUCCUUUGGGAGAAAGAAGGCCUCUCUUUGAAGCUUUCGCUACUAGAUGAGCCUGCGUAAGAUUAGCUUGUUGGUGAGGUAAAGGCUCACCAAGGCAACGAUCUUUAGCGGGUCUGAGAGGACGAUCCGCCACAUUGGGACUGAGACACGGCCCAGACUCCUACGGGAGGCAGCAGUGGGGAAUAUUGGACAAUGGGCGCAAGCCUGAUCCAGCCAUACCGCGUGUGUGAAGAAGGCCCUAGGGUUGUAAAGCACUUUAAGUUGGGAAGAAAAGUUAUUGGUUAAUACCCAAUAACCGUGACAUUACCUUCAGAAUAAGGACCGGCUAAUUCCGUGCCAGCAGCCGCGGUAAUACGGAAGGUCCAAGCGUUAAUCGGAAUUACUGGGCGUAAAGCGCGCGUAGGUGGUUUAUUAAGUUGGAUGUGAAAUCCCCGGGCUCAACCUGGGAACUGCAUCCAAAACUGAUUCACUAGAGUACGAUAGAGGGAGGUAGAAUUCACAGUGUAGCGGUGGAAUGCGUAGAUAUUGUGAAGAAUACCAAUGGCGAAGGCAGCCUCCUGGAUCUGUACUGACACUAAGGUGCGAAAGCGUGGGUAGCGAACAGGAUUAGAUACCCUGGUAGUCCACGCCGUAAACGAUGUCAACUAGCUGUUGGGAAACAAUGUUUUUCAGUGGCGCAGCUAACGUAGUAAGUUGACCGCCUGGGGAGUACGGCC
rnacentral:rRNA from 1 species